UAGGGAAUCUUCCGCAAUGGACGCAAGUCUGACGGAGCAACGCCGCGUGAGUGAAGAAGGAUUUCGGUUCGCAAAACUCUGUUGUUAGAGAAGAACAGCGCAUAGAGUAACUGUUAUGCGUGUGACGGUAUCUAACCAGAAAGCCACGGCUAACUACGUGCCAGCAGCCGCGGUAAUACGUAGGUGGCAAGCGUUGUCCGGAUUUAUUGGGCGUAAAGCGAGCGCAGGCGGUCAAUUAAGUCUGAUGUGAAAGCCCCCGGCUCAACCGGGGAGGGUCAUUGGAAACUGGUUGACUUGAGUGCAGAAGAGGAGAGUGGAAUUCCAUGUGUAGCGGUGAAAUGCGUAGAUAUAUGGAGGAACACCAGUGGCGAAGGCGACUCUCUGGUCUGUAACUGACGCUGAGGCUCGAAAGCGUGGGUAGCAAACAGG
rnacentral:rRNA from 1 species